AUUGUGGAAAAUACAGAAAAACAUAAAGGAAAAAACUCCAAUCCUCUGAGCCCACCACUGUUCAGGACCCCUGCUUUUCACCUACUAUUUCCCUUUAGUUUUUAGCAGCGGCUGGAUGUGAUAUGUCUAGUUUAACCAGUCCCCUUGAUCUUUCUAUAUAAUAAAUAACACAGGGGUGAACAUCCUGAAUCAGAACUUAGCAGAGAUGCUCACAUGCGGGGUAACUGUCCAUGGUGUGUGGAGGGGUCCUCGGAACCCCCUCUUAGGAUCAUCUCCACAUACUCUCCCAGUUCUGAGAUUCGUUACCGAUAGCAGGUUUCCGUCACACUGCGAUAUCAGAGCAGUGCAGGAACUCUCCGCUCCGAGGGGUUUUUCCUCCUAGGGGAACACUCUGCUAAGUAAUGGGCAGAGAACAAAGGGGCUCCUAAUUCAAGGCAGGCCUAAGGGAGGGUCAGAAAGAACUUUAGCUGGAGGUAUUUACAGAUGUGACCUCGAAUCCUUGGGGAUUCUUGGAAAAUGGGCAAGGUGCCAAAAGAGGAGAAAUGGCCAGGCCUUCAAAAUAGAAAAACCCGGAGAAUUACAGAUAGUGAACUUGCCCCUAAGCCCUCAUUGAGGGGUGUGUUUGAGCAUUUAGGGGAGGACUCCAGUGCUCCUCAGUGACAGACACAGCCGCCUCUGCGGUGUCUGAAGGCCCUGGUCAUGGUGACGCUAGAUGGCCGCUCUGGGCGCCUCCUGUGGGUGUAGAGGCAUCACCACUCUGCACUGGCAGACUCAGCAUGGAGUCGGAGCAGAGUCUGGCAUGAGCACUUGCCAUCCCAGGCGUUUCAGUUCUGACUGAAGGGAGACGCACAGGGGAGGAGAGGGCCCUUUCGAGCUCCGCUCUGCCUCCACCACUCAUUCCCUAACCCCGCAGCCUCGGCGCCCUCAUCUAUAAAAUGGGGAGUUUUGCCUACAGGGUUCAGCACAGUGCCGGCCCGACAUAGGAACCCCAGUGGAUUAUCAGUUUUGCCAUUAUCCCCUGCAUCCUGGAGGUGACACCGCCUGGUUAAUAAGCAACCCCUCCAAGCCGCAGGGCAGUAGGAGGCUGGCCUGUGGCCAAGAAUGCAUGGUGGAGGGGGCCUGGAGGGGGACUGCAGCUCCUCCUCUUCCUGCUUCCUCCCUGCUCCACCCCGAGCCUAGGGCAGCACAAAAGCCAAUCGCUAGCAAACUUCCUGCCUAGCAAGGCCCUGCCUGGGGCAGAAAUGGCUGCAAGUGGCCGAGGUCUCUGCAAGGCUGUGGCCGCCUCUCCCUUCCCGGCUUGGAGACGAGCUCACACGGAAGCCAAGGGAGGUCUGAAGCCUGAGUAUGAUGCGGUGGUGAUAGGAGCAGGACACAAUGGACUGGUGGCUGCAGCGUACCUACAGAGACUGGGGGUGAACACUGCCGUCUUCGAGAGGCGCCAUGUGAUCGGGGGUGCAGCUGUCACUGAGGAGAUCAUCCCAGGAUUUAAGUUCUCCCGCGCGUCCUACCUGCUCAGCCUGCUGAGGCCGCAGAUUUACACUGAUCUGGAGCUGAAGAAACAUGGGCUGAGGCUUCAUCUUCGAAACCCCCACUCCUUCACCCCCAUGCUGGAAGAGGGUGUAGGCAGCAAGGUGCCCAGGUCCCUUCUGCUGGGCACAGACAUGGCAGAAAACCAGAAGCAGAUCGCCCAGUUCUCCCGGAAGGAUGCCCAGGUCUUUCCCAAAUAUGAGGAGUUCAUGCAUCGCUUGGCAUUAGCCAUUUACCCUUUGCUGGAUGCGGCCCCUGUGGACAUGGCAGCCUUCCAGCGUGGCUCCCUGCUGCAAAGGAUGAGGUCGCUCUCCACCCUGAAGCCCCUGCUGAAGGCAGGCCGCAUCCUGGGAGCCCAGCUUCCCCGAUACUACGAGGUCCUCACAGCUCCCAUUACCAAGGUGCUGGAUCAGUGGUUCGAGUCUGAGCCUCUAAAAGCCACUCUAGCCACAGAUGCUGUGAUUGGAGCCAUGACAAGUCCCCACACUCCGGGGAGUGGGUAUGUGCUGCUGCACCAUGUGAUGGGGGGCCUGGAGGGGAUGCAGGGGGCCUGGGCCUACGUCCAGGGGGGCAUGGGUGCCCUCUCUGAUGCCAUCGCAAGCUCAGCCACCACACAUGGAGCAAGCAUCUUCACUGAAAAGACAGUGGCGAAGGUGCAGGUGAACAGUGAAGGCUGUGUUCAAGGAGUUGUGCUGGAAGAUGGCACAGAGGUGAGAAGCAAAAUGGUGCUGUCCAACACAUCACCGCAGAUCACCUUCCUGAAGCUGACGCCACAGGAGUGGCUUCCUGAGGAGUUCCUGGAGAGAAUCUCUCAGCUGGACACCCGGUCGCCUGUCACCAAGAUCAAUGUGGCCGUAGACAGGCUGCCCAGCUUCCUGGCGGCCCCCAAUGCUCCCAGGGGCCAGCCGCUGCCCCAUCACCAGUGCUCCAUCCACCUGAACUGUGAAGACACCCUCCUCCUUCAUCAGGCCUUUGAAGAUGCUGUGGACGGCCUGCCUUCCCACAGGCCUAUGAUUGAGCUCUGCAUCCCUUCCUCGCUGGACCCCACCCUGGCUCCUCCCGGCUGCCACGUAGUCUCCCUCUUCACUCAGUACACGCCCUACACGCUGGCUGGAGGCAAGGCCUGGGACGAGCAGGAGAGAGAUGCUUAUGCAGACAGAGUGUUCGAUUGCAUUGAGGUCUAUGCCCCUGGCUUCAAGGACUCUGUGGUUGGCAGAGACAUCCUCACACCACCAGAUUUGGAGAGAAUCUUCGGGCUUCCUGGAGGGAACAUAUUCCACUGUGCCAUGUCCCUGGACCAGCUCUACUUCGCCCGCCCCGUGCCCCUGCAUUCUGGCUACCGCUGCCCUCUCCAGGGCCUGUAUCUCUGUGGAAGUGGGGCUCAUCCUGGAGGAGGUGUGAUGGGAGCUGCUGGGCGAAAUGCAGCGCAUGUGGCCUUCAGGGACCUCAAGAGCAUGUGACCCUGAACCAGCUCUGACCCAGGAAGAAGACUCCACCCCUGAAUUCCAAGUGCUCCAUUGGAUCAGCUUCCCGGGAAGUUCAGCUUCGGGUGACAAUUGCCAAGUUCUUCUGUGGGACCUUUGUAAUACUCCUGCCCUGAUGUCUGGAAUGAGGGGAAAAGAGACCUGCUGAGCAGAGGAUGUCAUUCUGUGAGGGAGUGGAGACACAUGAAAUGAGAAAAAGGAAUGAAAAAUGCAAAGCAAGGAGAAACGCAAAUGGACAGCAAACCUGAAAAAAUAUUUAAACUCACCAGGAAUCUGUUAAAUGCAAUGAAAACCAAACGAUCAUGCUUUACCUAUAAAAUUGAGAAAAAAUAUUUGUAUAGAAAAUUACUGGUGUGGGCAAAAAAGACUCUCUUCUAUGCUGUUGACAGCGGCAUAAAUUUGUAUUUGAUCAUGAGACUCAAAAGCCAACAUCUGUGUGCUUUGUGGGUUAUUCCGCAUCUUAUCACUUAGCCUAAGGAAAACAUCAGAAACGUCCCUGAGGAUUCAGGUAGAAGGAUAUUCAUGCAGUAUUAUUUGCAAUGGCAAAAUACUGGAAACAGUGUAAAUGUCCCAAAAUAGAGAAUUAGUUAAAUUAAUCAUGGUAACGGCAUGUGAUAGAAUAUCAAACAAUAACUUUAAAAGUUACAUUUUUGAAAGUACUUUUCUUUUAUCACGUGGAAAAAAAAUGCUAAUAAAAGGUAAGAUACAAUGGGA